rnacentral:rRNA from 1 species
AGCGGCGGACGGGUGAGUAACGCGUGGGUAACCUGCCUCAUACAGGGGGAUAACAGUUGGAAACGGCUGCUAAUACCGCAUAAGCGCACAGUACCGCAUGGUACGGUGUGAAAUACUCCGGUGGUAUGAGAUGGACCCGCGUCUGAUUAGGUAGUUGGUGGGGUAACGGCCUACCAAGCCGACGAUCAGUAGCCGACCUGAGAGGGUGACCGGCCACAUUGGGACUGAGACACGGCCCAA